rnacentral:rRNA from 1 species
AAUGCGUAGGAAUCUACCUAGUAGUAUGGAAUAGCUAUUAGAAAUGAUAGGUAAUACUGUAUAAUCCCUGCGGGGGAAAGAUUUAUCGCUAUUAGAUGAGCCUACGUUAGAUUAGCUAGUUGGUGAGGUAAUGGCUCACCAAGGCGAUGAUCUAUAGCUGGUCUGAGAGGACGAUCAGCCACACUGGAACUGAGAUACGGUCCAGACUCCUACGGGAGGCAGCAGUGGGGAAUAUUGGACAAUGGGCGAAAGCCUGAUCCAGCUAUGCCGCGUGAGUGAAGAAGGCCUUCGGGUUGUAAAACUCU